rnacentral:rRNA from 1 species
GAAUUACGAGCCCCUACUUAAAACCCAAAGGACUUGACGGUGUCCCACCCCACUAGAGGAGCCUGUUCUAUAAUCGAUUACCCCCGAUUUACCUUACCGCCUCUUGAACCCACAGUCUGUAUACCUCCGUCGCAAGCUUACCGUGUGAGCGCACCCAGUAAGCUAAAAGAUAUCUUACCCACACGUCAGGUCAAGGUGCAGCCCACGAAGCGGGAAGAAAUGGGCUACAAUUUCUAUGCUAGAACAAACGGAAAGCUGUAUGAAACACAGCUACUUGAAGGCGGAUUUAGUAGUAAAAAAAAAGUAGAGCGUUCUUUUUAACCAGGCACUGGGACGCGUACACACCGCCCGUCACCCUCUUCAAAUAAACCAAAAAGAUUUCUUAACAACACGCAAUAGCACAGAAGAGGCAAGUCGUAACACGGUAAGCGUACUGGAAAGUGCACUUGGAAUAAAAUGUAGCUUAAUAAAAGCAUCUUGCUUACACCAAGCCCAUGUCUGUGAAACCCCGACCAUUUUAAGCUUAACUCAUAGCCCCACCACUCCCACAUAAUCUCAAACACAAACAAAUUAACUAAAACAUUUUUACAACCAAGUAAAGGCGAUUAAAAAGUUUAUAGGAGCCUCAACAACAGUACCGUAAGGG